GUCAUUAUAUAGUGGUUAAGGAGCAGGACUCAUAAUCGAAAGGUUGCCGGUUCGAUCCCCGCUGAGACA